rnacentral:tRNA from 1 species
AUCUAUGAUAGUUUAAAGAAGAAUAAUAAUUUGUGGAAUUAUUGGUGAAUUUAUAUCUCUAGGUC